ACGCUGGCGGCACGCCUAACACAUGCAAGUCGAACGAAGUAGCAAUACUUAGUGGCAGACGGGUGAGUAACAUGUAGGUAUCUACCCUUUGGCCUGGAAUAACACGAGGAAACUUGUGCUAAUACUGGAUAAGUCUUUACGGAGAAAGCUUUAUGCACCAUUGGAUGAGCCUGCACUUGAUUAGUUUGUUGGUGGGGUAAUGGCCUACCAAGACUGUGAUCAAUAGCUGAUUUGAGAGGAUGAUCAGCCACAUUGGGACUGAGACACGGCCCAAACUCCUACGGGAGGCAGCAGUGGGGAAUCUUGCACAAUGGAGGAAACUCUGAUGCAGCGAUGCCGCGUGAGUGAAGAAGGCCUUUGGGUUGUAAAGCUCUUUCGUCGGGGAAGAAAAUGACUGUACCCGAAUAAGAAGGUCCGGCUAACUUCGUGCCAGCAGCCGCGGUAAUACGAAGGGACCUAGCGUAGUUCGGAAUUACUGGGCUUAAAGAGUUCGUAGGUGGUUGAAAAAGUUGGUGGUGAAAUCCCAGAGCUUAACUCUGGAACUGCCAUCAAAACUUUUCAGCUAGAGUAUGAUAGAGGAAAGCAGAAUUUCUAGUGUAGAGGUGAAAUUCGUAGAUAUUAGAAAGAAUACCAAUUGCGAAGGCAGCUUUCUGGAUCAUUACUGACACUGAGGAACGAAAGCAUGGGUAGCGAAGAGGAUUAGAUACCCUCGUAGUCCAUGCCGUAAACGAUGUGUGUUAGACGUUGGAAAUUUAUUUUCAGUGUCGCAGCGAAAGCGAUAAACACACCGCCUGGGGAGUACGACCGC
rnacentral:rRNA from 1 species